rnacentral:tRNA from 2 species
GCUCUCUUAGUAUAAUCAAUAUAACUGACUUCCAAUUAGUAGAUUCCGAAACCAUCACGGAAGAGAGUA